rnacentral:rRNA from 1 species
GGCUCAGGAUGAACGCUGGCGGCGUGCUUAACACAUGCAAGUCGAACGAAGCACUUUAUUUGAUUCCUUCGGGACUGAAGAUUUUGUGACUGAGUGGCGGACGGGUGAGUAACGCGUGGGUAACCUGCCUCAUACAGGGGGAUAACAGUUGGAAACGACUGCUAAUACCGCAUAAGCGCACAGUGCUGCAUGGCACAGUGUGAAAAACUCCGGUGGUAUGAGAUGGACCCGCGUCUGAUUAGCUGGUUGGUGAGGUAACGGCCCACCAAGGCGACGAUCAGUAGCCGGCCUGAGAGGGUGAACGGCCACAUUGGGACUGAGACACGGCCCAAACUCCUACGGGAGGCAGCAGUGGGGAAUAUUGCACAAUGGGGGAAACCCUGAUGCAGCGACGCCGCGUGAGUGAGGAAGUAUUUCGGUAUGUAAAACUCUAUCAGCAGGGAAGAUAAUGACGGUACCUGACUAAGAAGCACCGGCUAAAUACGUG